CCCGGGAGCUUCGUGAGUGUUAUGACCAUGGCAGAUUGCUUUAAAAUCCUGAUUGACGACCUUCUUGGGUUUGGACACGGUCUGCUCGGGCCAGGAGUCCAGAGUAAAGCUCAGUAGGCAUCGCGCCCAUAGGCCAGUCACUUCACUCAGUGGCUGCUACCGCCGACGCGGAAGAAAAGAACCGCCAGCCUGGAUCGGAGGCGGGCACAACGAGGAGGAGCUCGACCUGCCCUGAUAGCCAGAACGGUACCUCGUCAGCCCAGGGCCUAUUCCAGCCCCGGCGGCUCCG